rnacentral:lncRNA from 1 species
AUGGUAAAAAUGGGUAAAAAGUAUGUGCAUGUCUAAAAUCCUAAUAUAAUGAACCAGAGGAGGUAACUAUCAUUAUCAAAAGGAUUAUUACAUCUAAAGAUGCUAAGUAGCUUGCAAUGUUGAGCCGACCUUGAAGGAAAAAAGAUCGGAGCUGUAGGAAAAAAGAUGCAGACGAUCAAUUUGGAAAGAAAAGGAACAGCCC